AUUCAGCUGACGAGUCCCAAACAGAACGAAACAGGCGUCUGGGGU
rnacentral:hammerhead_ribozyme from 1 species